GAGAGUGCUUGUGGAAGGAGUGCUGUGGCUGAGAACAUGUGCAGGCAUGAAAGGAAUGGAGGCAUCCCAAAUAGUGCAUGAUAGCUGGUGGUUAAUAAAAAAAAAAAGAAGAAGAAACAUGUGGAGUCCAAAAUCAGUCUGGAGACAGAGAUCUCUGGUGGGCAGGGAGACUCUUGGACUGCCUGCUCACCGAGGUCACACUUCAGCAGAGAGAGAGAGAGAGAGAGAUCACAGGCUGAGGAGAUGAAUGAUGACUGCUGAGAGACAAACAUGAUCUCUCUGGGCUUCAGCAGGAAAACUGAACAGUGAGGAGCACUGACAAGCUGAAUCCCAGACUCUGAGGAGAUGCAACAAAUGAUGAAAACACUAAUCCUAAUGAUGGCUUCUGCAAUACACACUGUCCAAGUCAGUGUCCUUCAGAGUUUGAUCCCAAAUCCUCUCUACCUGCCAUCACUCUAAGCCUAAAUGCAGCAGCAGAUCAAACUUUAUUAUCUAUUUUCAUCAUAUUCUGCUCUUCACCUUUUCUAAAAACUGGAUGUUACUAAGUAGACAAUAUUUGAGGUUUCCUGUGGCAGGGAAGAGCCACACAUUACAAACCUUUAAAAUCCAAGACUUUAUGCCUCCAUUUUGUGUAACCUCUGGAGAACACUUGAUUUGAAAAAUUGAAGAAAAAUAUAGCAAUCUUUUUUCCCCCUUGUGCUUUACAGCUGGAAAUCCCAUUGAAAACAGUGUAGUUGACCUUGUUCACAUCAUCUAUGGAAUCAUGCCUCUUCUUAGGUAUAGAAACUGUCUGGUCAUGUUGAAUACUAUUCUGGUAAAAAUCUGUGGGAAACAUUGGAAUUGUCAUGCAAACCUUUCAACUGAGAGCUGUCUGGUGUCUCAUUAUCAUUAAUGUUUAUAUACAGCAGGAAUAAAAAAAGCCUUAAGAAGAACAUCUCUAGAAAAACUCUAGAAAACUGUUGCCAUCCAUUUUGCUUCAUAUAGAGUUAUGUACAGGUUUGUUGGAAGUGCAGCCUUUGUUUGUCCUGGUCUGGAGGCUACUGACAAAGAUCCUUUCUGUCCUCAUCCUUCUUUGGCCUGUGUUUGCAGAGGUCUGGCACUGGGGUGGAAUGCAACAAACUUAGGGGUCUGUCUCUCAAGGUGUUGAAGGGCUGCUUGUUGGUGUUGAGGAGGUUGUGGAACUGUGCAGCCACUUCCCAGGGCUGUGAUGGAAAACAUGCUUUGGACGGAGCAGUUCUUACUCAGGCACUGGGGCUCCACUGCCUGAUUUAUGUCUGGGAAUCCUCGUCUGGGCUUUUGGAUCAUGAAAACAAAUUUGCUUGAGAGGUUCUGCAGAAGUAGAUGAGGAUGAGCAAUACUGCACCUGUAUGUGCUGGAUAAAAGGAAAGUGGCAACAGAAGAAUAAUAAUUUUUAAGAAUCAGAACAUAUGAGGAUUUUAAGGCUGCAGAGGCUGCAGUGGGACACAGGCCUGUGCUUCACAACCAUCUAGAAACUCAAAAAAGUUGUGAGUUCCAGCUGGAAAAAUCUGCAGUGCUAAUGGCAACUAAAAUCUGAUCAGCAGCACAAAACCAUCCUCAGAGUGAUAAACAACCACUGAAUCCUUUGAAUCCUGUCCUGCCUGAGACCUUAAUCCUGGCUUCAGAAUGAACACUUUUUAAAAUAUGGAAGACAAUUCCACCUCUGAAAAAUUGUUAUCCCAGGGAUUUCUACAACACAGUUUCUCAGUUUCAAAGGAAAAAAAACCAGGAAAAUAUUUCUGACUGUGCAGCUGAAAAUUAGGGAUCAGGUAGGGUGAUAUGAGGAGAAUCUAACUUUGCAGUUUAGAGAAUUCAAGAAAAAGGAUGCCAAUGUUUAUUUUCCAGGUUAUUUGGCUCAGAAAAAAAAAAAAUCCCUGGGUAUGUUUAUUCUCCACUUGUUAUCUUUUUCAGGGUGACAGUGUUAUCCACAAACGUGUGCAGAAGUUUGCUUUGUUUGGUUUAUUUUUUCUGGGAAAAAAGCACUAGUUGGCUUGUACCUUACCAAAAAACUGUUAUUGUUGGGCUUACACAUGCAAGUAAAUAAGAUAUAAAGUGACAUAAUGGUAUCUAUUCAGCCAAUUCCUGUUUGUUGAACCAGCAACCAUUAGUGGUUGUGAAUGGGUCUCAUUGUGCUGGUGUCAAUGAGGUUGUGCUUAGUCCUGUGAACUUGAGAACAGUUGGUUAUGGCUGAGGAAAAGGCUAAAUAAUAGGAUUUGAAACAGUGUUUUGCAAUUACCAAGGCACUGUGACUGAAUAUUUGUUUUACUCUGGAGAGAGGGAUUUUGUGUCCAAGCGGAGAUGCCAAGCAGAGAUCCUCAAAACUAAAUGUGCAGGACUGUUUCAGUCUGUCUGGGAGAUCUGUAGCAAAUUCUGUGGUGCUGUAUGAUGUGCUAUUUCCAAAUUCAUGGUUCUGAGUCUUUAUUGGACUCCAUGAUUUUGAUAUAGCCAGGUCACCUCCAACGUGAGUAACUCCUUUAUUUGUGUUCCCCCAUUGCACAGAUCCCAAAUAUUUUUAGGUCUGCCAAAGUUGUAUGAUUAUAGUUAAGAAGAGGAAGCAUCAGAUCUUCUGCUGAGGAAUGAUGAUUAAAGAGAUGGUAUUUUUAUCUCAAUUAUUAUUUAUUAGAUGGACACAGAAAUCACGUGGCAUAAUGCAAUGGUGUCCUAUAGUCCCUUGGCAGAUGAGAAGCUGUUUUCUUGCUGGGACCUUAGGAAGUGAUGGGAAGGAGGAAUUGGUUCACUCAAGAUGCUGGAGACUGAGCCUCAGAAGUCAAGUCAUUCAUCCAACCUAGGGAAAAGGUGAUCCUGGUCUUGGGACUCUAAUCUUUUGUUUGGUUUUUCUGUGGCCUGGCUGUUCCCUUGAGGUAGAUCAGGGCACAGGGAGGAGUUCAGAGUCUGCACAGUUUUUGUGUCUGGUACUGUGCAGACAAUGUAAACAACUGCAUUGCAGUCAAAAGGGAUGGGAUGCCAGGGAACUCUACCCUAGAGUGCCUCUUCCUCUCUCUGCUGGACUGAAGAAUAUCAUUGGCAUGUACAUUUUCCUCUGUUAUAACUGGUAUGCUGGUCAUACUUAAAUUUAUCAUAAUCCACUGAAAGAAGUUAUUGGGUUUUUCAUUACCAAUCAUGGGUGACAGGAAGCAAAGGACUCUAAGAAGGAAUCUGGAAAGGACAUCAAUUUUGAAAGGCAGAGAGGAAGGCUACAGAAGGAAAUGUAAACAGAUUUACAGAAUACCUCACUUGGUGUUACUAGUGAAAAAUAUCAAUACACCAGGAAUGGUAAUUUGGUACGUUGGUAUGGGAACCAAUGUCUUUUGUUUCAGCACAAAUUGCAUUCUGGACACAGCAGAAACCUAUGGGAAGGUGAAAAUCUCUGAUUUCCUGGCAUAUGUGAGAUUUAGCAGAAAAUGUUGAGGACAAGAUAGGAGUUUGCAACUACCUAGAAAAAGGCUAAUUUCAGUACCUAUGUGCUGAAAAACACACCCCUGUUUAAAUACAAGACUGCAGUAAUGUGAACUUACAGGGAGCAAUUAUUUUUUUGUCAGCUGUGUUGGUCUCUCAGCCUAAAGACACCUGCUGAACAAAUUCCCACUCUCAUUUCAAUCCAGAAAAUUCACAGGUGGUUCGUGUUAGAUUAUGGGGACCUUCAUGGCCAUCAUUUUGAUGUUACUACUCCUCUGCUCACUGUAUUUCAGUGCUUUGAUCAGGGGAUUGGUUUUCCUUAUAGUCACAGAUGGUUGCUGUUUGACAGGCUGACAGGCAGACAAAGUAAAUGGGCAUGAAAAUAUAAUAUUCCUUUGUUUUGGUGAGUCAGGCCAAUGUCAUGUGGGUAGACAUUGCUCUGUAGUCCUUCUAAUUGUACUAGGAUGGGGAGAGGGUAUUGUGUAUAAUGGCACAUAGGAACCUUGCAGCUUUCUUUCCUGGACUGUCUUGUUGAGGAUUUGAUCAACAAAUCUGAAUUUGCAAUGAUUUUUCACUGUUACCUUUUCAAUUAAGGUGGUAAGUAUUGCCAUCAUAGAGCACUGUGAAAUUUGGAGGGGUUAGUCUGGAAAAAUCCCAUCUGGCAAAGAUGUACCUGAUCCUGCAUAUCAAUAGGAGUUUUGAGCAGAGAUCAAUAGCACGAUGAAAAGCUACAUAAUUAUUGUGUGUCUGUGUCUGUAUCUACUUGCCUGAAUUCACAAUGCAAAAA